AUGAACGUUGGCGGCGUGGAUUAGGCAUGCAAGUCGAGCGAGAAGCCUCCUUCGGGAGGUGGACAGCGGCGAAAGGGAGAGUAACGCGUGGAUUAUCUGCCCCUGGAUCCGGGAUAGCUGCGGGAAACUGCAGGUAAUACCGGAUAAUGUCUCCGGACCAAAGGUGUGAUUCCGUCCAGGGAUGAGUCCGCGUCCUAUUAGCUAGUUGGCAGGGUAACGGCCUACCAAGGCGAUGAUGGGUACUGGGUGUGAGAGCACGACCCAGCUCACUGGGACUGAGACACUGCCCAGACACCUACGGGUGGCUGCAGUCGAGGAUCUUCGGCAAUGGGCGCAAGCCUGACCGAGCGACGCCGCGUGCGGGAUGAAGGCCUUCGGGUUGUAAACCGCUGUCAGAGGGGAUGAAAUAUCGGAGGGUUCUCCCUCCGAUUUGACAGAUCCUCAGAGGAAGUACGGGCUAAGUUCGUGCCAGCAGCCGCCGUAACAC
rnacentral:rRNA from 1 species